rnacentral:rRNA from 1 species
UGGGGAAUCUUGCGCAAUGGACGAAAGUCUGACGCAGCCACGCCGCGUGAGUGAAGAAGGCCUUUGGGUUGUAAAGCUCUGUUGGAUGGGAAGAAAAGUUUGGAGUGAAUAGCUUCAAACCUUGACGGUACCAUCAGAGGAAGCACCGGCUAACUCCGUGCCAGCAGCCGCGGUAAUACGGAGGGUGCAAGCGUUGCUCGGAAUUAUUGGGCGUAAAGGGUAGGUAGGUGGUCUUAUUUGUCUUGGGUGAAAGCCUUAAGCUUAACUUAAGAAGUGCCCAAGAAACGGUAGGACUAGAGUUCUAGAGAGGGUCGUGGAAUUCCCGGUGUAGCGGUGAAAUGCGUAGAGAUCGGGAGGAACACCAGAGGCGAAGGCGGCGACCUGGCUAGAAACUGACACUCAACUACGAAAGCGUGGGGAGCAAACA